UACGUAGGUGGCAAGCGUUGUCCGGAUUUACUGGGCGUAAAGGGAGCGUAGGCGGACUUUUAAGUGAGAUGUGAAAUACUCGGGCUCAACUUGAGUGCUGCAUUUCAAACUGGAAGUCUAGAGUGCAGGAGAGGAGAAUGGAAUUCCUAGUGUAGCGGUGAAAUGCGUAGAGAUUAGGAAGAACACCAGUGGCGAAGGCGAUUCUCUGGACUGUGACUGACGCUGAGGCUCGAAAGCGUGGGGAGCAAACAGG
rnacentral:rRNA from 1 species